GAGGGUAUAGCUCAGCGGUAGGGUUCAUGCUUAGCAUGCAUGAGGUCCUGGGUUCAAUCCUCAGUAUCUUCA
rnacentral:tRNA from 1 species